GAGCAGGAAUACACUGUUGCUUGGUCGGCCUGCUGCGCUUCUGGAGUAGUGGCGGUUAUUCCAUUGAUAUCAGCUUCUUCCACGCGUCUAAGAUGAUGUAGUUUCUCAGUACAGAGUUUCUCGGCUAGGAAGGUUUCCUCAAAUGGAUUGGACAAAGAUUCCAGCAGAAGAUCCUUGAGGCUAGAGAGAGACCAAGAAUCAGGCUGUGAGAUUUCCCAACCUUCAGUGAUUGUAGCUAAAAAAUCUGGAUGAGCUGUUAAGAAGUUGUAGAACUUGAACGGCCGAGUACCAGCAACGGGAAGAGCAGCUUCCAAAUUGACAAGGCUUGGAGUGUGAUCUGAGAAAUCUGGGGGCAUAAAAUGUGCCAGACUAU